rnacentral:rRNA from 1 species
CGCAAGCCUGACGGAGCAACGCCGCGUGAGGGAGGAAUGUCUGUGGAUUGUAAACCUCUUUUCUCUGUGAAGAAGAUCUGACGGUAGCAGAGGAAUCAGCAUCGGCUAACUCCGUGCCAGCAGCCGCGGUAAGACGGAGGAUGCAAGCGUUAUCCGGAAUUAUUGGGCGUAAAGCGUCCGUAGGCGGUUAUUUAAGUCAGUUGUUAAAGACUGCAGCUCAACUGUGGGAGAGCAACUGAAACUGGAUGACUAGAGUAUGGUAGGGGUAGAGGGAAUUCCUAGUGUAGCGGUGAAAUGCGUAGAUAUUAGGAAGAACACCAGUGGCGAAGGCGCUCUACUGGGCCAAGACUGACGCUGAUGGACGAAAGCUAGGGGAGCGAAAGGGAUUAGAUACCCCUGUAGUCCUAGCCGUAAACGAUGGAUACUAGGUGUUGUGCGUAUCGACCCGUGCAGUACCGCAGCAAACGCGUUAAGUAUCCCGCCUGGGGAGUAUGCUCGCAAGAGUGAAACUCAAA